UUUGUAUGUGUUUAUGGUCAGGGCAUGUGUUUUGGGUGGGCAGUCUAUGUUAUCUGUUUCUAUGUUGGUUUUGGGUUGCCUGGUAUGGCUCUUAAUUAGAGGCAGGUGGUUUGCGUUUUCCUCUAAUUAAGAGGCAUAUUUAGGUAGGGCGUUCUCACUGUUUGUUUGUGGGUGAUUGUCUUCCAUAUCUGUGUUAUGUCUUGCACCAUACGGGACUGUUCGGUGUUUCGUUUCGAUGUAGUCUGCUCCUGUCCGUGAGUUUUACGUUUUAGUUAAGUAAGUUCAUGUUCAGGUUUUUUUCGUCUACGUCGUUUUCUUGUUUUGUAAAUUUGAAAGUGUUUUGUUUUUCGUGUUGCCAUCGUCGUUAAUAAUAAAGAGAUGGCUUAUUUCCCUAAUGCUGCAUUUUGGUCUGAUGAUCCUUCUCUCCUCUCCUCGUCCGAGGAUGAGGAGAACGACAGCCCUUACAGAAUCACCCACCAAAUUAUACAUUAUACAAAUUAUACAAAAUACAUCUCUUUUAUUUUAGAAGAGGGAAAACCACGCAACGAACACUAUUACAAAACGAAACAAAACAACAAACAAUCGUGAAGCUAAAGACCAACCCAACUGGCGUUCUCUGCCUGGCCUGGACACGGAAUACAGUUCUGCCAUACUCCUGACUUCCCAGAAUACAGUUCUGCCAUACUCCUGACUUCCCAGAAUACAGUUCUGCCAUACUCCUGACUUCCCAGAAUACAGUUCUGCCAUACUCCUGACUUCCCAGAAUACAGUUCUGCCAUACUCCUGACUUCCCAGAAUACAGUUCUGCCAUACUCCUCACUUCCCAGAAUACAGUUCUGCCAUACUCCUCACUUCCCAGAAUACAGUUCUGCCGUACUCCUGACUUCCCAGAAUACAGUUCUGCCAUACUCCUGACUUCCCAGAAUACAGUUCUGCCAUACUCCUCACUUCCCAGAAUACAGUUCUGCCAUACUCCUCACUUCCCAGAAUACAGUUCUGCCAUACUCCUGACUUCCCAGAAUACAGUUCUGCCAUACUCCUGACUUCCCAGAAUACAGUUCUGCCAUACUCCUCACUUCCCAGAAUACAGUUCUGCCAUACUCCUCACUUCCCAGAAUACAGUUCUGCCAUACUCCUGACUUCCCAGAAUACAGUUCUGCCAUACUCCUCACUUCCCAGAAUACAGUUCUGCCAUACUCCUGACUUCCCAGAAUACAGUUCUGCCAUACUCCUGACUUCCCAGAAUACAGUUCUGCCAUACUCCUGACUUCCCAGAAUACAGUUCUGCCAUACUCCUGACUUCCCAGAAUACAGUUCUGCCAUACUCCUCACUUCCCAGAAUACAGUUCUGCCAUACUCCUCACUUCCCAGAAUACAGUUCUGCCGUACUCCUGACUUCCCAGAAUACAGUUCUGCCAUACUCCUGACUUCCCAGAAUACAGUUCUGCCAUACUCCUCACUUCCCAGAAUACAGUUCUGCCAUACUCCUCACUUCCCAGAAUACAGUUCUGCCAUACUCCUGACAUCCCAGAAUACAGUUCUGCCAUACUCCUGACAUCCCAGAAUACAGUUCUGCCGUACUCCUGACUUCCCAGAAUACAGUUCUGCCGUACUCCUGACUUCCCAGGAAUACAGUUCUGCCGUACUCCUGACUUCCCAGAAUACAAGACAGACCUAACUGAGGAGAACUUAACCCAGUGUCACAAAAAGGAGAAGACACAUUCUUUGCUACUGCUGUUUGAGGACAAAAUUAGGUUAAAGAAAAAUGUUGAUUCUCAAACCAGACAGUCACUAUGCCCGGGUGGAUUCGCUAAAAUCCUCAACCGUGAAAUGGAAGAAUUUCCCAGCAGCGUAACAGUGUUACAGUAUUACUACGGGCCGUUCUGUCUCGGACUAGGCUUACUAACUAACACACACUAACUAACUAGUACAGAGGCUUACUAACUAACACACACUAACUAACUAGUACAGAGGCUUACUAACUAACACACACUAACUAACUAGUACAGAGGCUUACUAACUAACACACACUAACUAACUAGUACAGAGGCUUACUAACUAACACACACUAACUAACUAGUACAGAGGCUUACUAACUAACACACACUAACUAACUAGUACAGAGGCUUACUAACUAACACACACUAACAAACUAGUACAGAGGCUUACUAACUAACACACACUAACUAACUAGUACAGAGGCUUACUAACUAACACACACUAACUAACUAGUACAGAGGCUUACUAACUAACACACACUAACUAACUAGUACAGAGGCUUACUAACUAACACACACUAACUAACUAGUACAGAGGCUUACUAACUAACACACACUAACUAACUAGUACAGAGGCGUACACAAGUCUGAAGUGGAUAGUGAGAUUACUGUUGAUCAGGAUCAGAAUAAACAGAUUUCAAUCAA